GGCCAGACUCCUACGGGAGGCAGCAGUGAGGAAUAUUGGUCAAUGGCCGAGAGGCUGAACCAGCCAAGUCGCGUGAGGGAUGACGGCCCUACGGGUUGUAAACCUCUUUUGUCGGGGAGCAAAGAGAGUCACGUGUGGCUCAUUGAGAGUACCCGAAGAAAAAGCAUCGGCUAACUCCGUGCCAGCAGCCGCGGUAAUACGGAGGAUGCGAGCGUUAUCCGGAUUUAUUGGGUUUAAAGGGUGCGCAGGCGGAGGUGCAAGUCAGGGGUCAAAUUGCGGGGCUCAACCCCGUACUGCCGUUGAAACUGGCUGUCUUGAGAUGUCGAGAGGUAUGCGGAAUGCGCAGUGUAGCGGUGAAAUGCAUAGAUAUCGCGCAGAACUCCGAUUGCGAAGGCAGCAUGCCGGCUCCACACUGACGCUGAGGCACGAAAGCGUGGGUAUCGAACAGGAUUAGAUACCCCUGUAC
rnacentral:rRNA from 1 species